rnacentral:rRNA from 1 species
GGGCCCGCACAAGCGGUGGAGCAUGUGGUUUAAUUCGAUGAUACGCGAGGAACCUUACCAGGACUUAAAUGUAAGUUGCAUGAUUCAGAAAUGAAUCUUUCUUCGGACUACUUACAAGGUGCUGCAUGGUUGUCGUCAGCUCGUGCCGUGAGGUGUCAGGUUAAGUCCUAUAACGAGCGCAACCCCUAUCGUUAGUUGCCAGCGAGUAAUGUCGGGAACUCUAACGAAACUGCCAGUGCAAACUGUGAGGAAGGUGGGGAUGACGUCAAAUCAUCACGGCCCUUACGUCCUGGGCUACACACGUGCUACAAUGGUAGAGACAGAGGGCAGCCACCUGGUGACAGGGAGCGAAUCCUUAAACUCUAUCUCAGUUCGGAUUGGAGUCUGCAACUCGACUCCAUGAAGUCGGAAUCGCUAGUAAUCG